ensembl:lncRNA
CGGGGGCUAGUGCCCUACUUUGACCAGGGGGGCAGUGCCCUACUUUGACCAGGGUGCCGGGGGCUAGUGCCCUACUUUGACCAGGGUGCCGGGGGCUAGUGCCCUACUUUGACCAGGGUGCCGGGGGCUAGUGCCCUACUUUGACCAGGGUGCUGGGGGCUAGUGCCCUACUUUGACCAGGGUGCCGGUGGCUAGUGCCCUACUUUGACCAGGGUGCCGGUGGCUAGUGCCCUACUUUGACCAGGGUGCCGGGGCUAGUGCCCUACUUUGACCAGGGUGCUGGGGGCUAGUGCCCUACUUUGACCAGGGUGCUGGGAGCUAGUGCCCUACUUUGACCAGGGUGCUGGGGGCUAGUACCCUACUUUGACCAGGGUGCUGGGGGCUGACUUUGACCAGGGUGCUGGGAGCUAGUGCCCUACUUUGACCAGGGUGCUGGAGCUAGUGCCCUACUUUGACCAGGGUGCUGGGGGCCAGUGCCCUACUUUGACCAGGGUGCUGGGGGCUGGUGCCCUACUUUGACCAGGGUGCUGGGGGCCAGUGCCCUACUUUGACCAGGGUGCUGGGGCUAGUGCCCUACUUUGACCAGGGUGCUGGGGGCUAGUGCUCUACUUUGAUGAGGGUGCUAGUGCCCUACUUUGACCAGGGUGCUGGGAUCUAGUGCCCUACUUUGACCAGGGUGCUGGGGGCUAGUGCCCUACUUUGACCAGGGUGCUGGGGGCUAGUGCCCUACUUUGACCAGGGUGCUGGGGGCUAGUGCACUACUUUGACCAGGGUGCUGGGGGCUAGUGCCCUACUUUGACCAGGGUGCUGGGAUCUAGUGCCCUACUUUGACCAGGGUGCUGGGGCUAGUGCCCUACUUUGACCAGGGUGCUGUGGGCUAGUGCCCUACUUUGACCAGGGUGCUGUGGGCUAGUGCCCUACUUUGACCAGGGUGCUGGGGGCUAGUGCACUACUUUGACCAGGGUGCUGGUGCACUACCUUGACCAGGGUGCUCGGGGCUAGUGCCCUACUUUGACCAGGGUGCUGGGGGCUAGUGCACUACUUUGACCAGGGUGCUGGUGCACUACCUUGACCAGGGUGCUGGGAGCUAGUGCCCUACUUUGACCAGGGUGCUGGGAGCUAGUGCCCUACUUUGACCAGGGUGCUGGGGGCUAGUGCCCUACUUUGACCAGGGUGCUGGGUGCUAGUGCACUACUUUGACCAGGGGGCUAGUACCCUACUUUGACCAGGGUGCUCGGGGCUAGUGCACUACUUUGAUGAGGGUGCUGGGAGCUAGUGCCCUACUUUGACCAGGGUGCUGGGGGCUAGUGCCCUACUUUGACCAGGGUGCUGGGGGCUAGUGCACUACUUUGACCAGGGUGCUGGGAGCUAGUGCCCUACUUUGACCAGGGUGCUGGGGGCUAGUGCCCUACUUUGACCAGGGUGCUGGGGGCUAGUGCCCUACUUUGACCAGGGUGCUGGGGCUAGUGCCCUACUUUGACCAGGGUGCUGGGUGCUAGUGCCCUACUUUGACCAGGGUGCUGGGGCUAGUGCCCUACUUUGACCAGGGUGCUGGGUGCUAGUGCACUACUUUGACCAGGGGGCUAGUACCCUACUUUGACCAGGGUGCUGGGGGCUAGUGCCCUACUUUGACCAGGGUGCUGGGUGCUAGUGCACUACUUUGACCAGGGGGCUAGUACCCUACUUUGACCAGGGUGCUGGGGGCUAGUGCCCUACUUUGACCAGGGUGCUGGGGGCUAGUGCCCUACUUUGACCAGGGUGCUAGGGGCUAGUGCCCUACUUUGACCAGGGUGCCGGGGGCUAGUGCCCUACUUUGACCAGGGUGCUGGGGGCUAGUGCCCUACUUUGACCAGGGUGCCGGGGGCUAGUGCCCUACUUU